UACGGAGGGGGCUAGCGUUGUUCGGAAUUACUGGGCGUAAAGGGCGCGUAGGCGGCGCGAUAAGUUGGGCGUGAAAGGCCCCGGGGCUCAACCCCGGGGGACUGCGCUUGAUACUGUCGCGCUGUGAGUCCGGGGAGAGGAUGGCGGAAUUCCCCAGUGUAGAGGUGAAAUUCGUAGAUAUUGGGAAGAACACCGGUGGCGAAGGCGGCCAUCUGGACCGCAACUGACGCUGAGGCGCGGAAAAGCGUGGGGGAGCAAACGGGG
rnacentral:rRNA from 1 species